ensembl:lncRNA
CAACGUAUGAGGAAGCUCCAUCCUUAACGUCAACAGAACCUUUUUGGUUUGAUAAAACAAGUUGUAUCAAAUGUAUGUAUAUACGUUUCUUCAGUCAGUGGUCAACCAGUUGUUUUGGAAAAUAGCCCUCUGAGCUUACCUCUGCUUCUUUUAUCUCUUCUUCGACCGCCUUGAUACCAAAUAUUUGCAGGAGGAAGGAACAGAGCGGGUUGCGAUAACCCUCCAGUCGGCUCCCCCUCCUCUCUGCAUUUACAACAGAUGCAGAGGGGAGGGGGGAGCAGGCCUGCUCUGACGAUGGCUGUACACAGUCAGUGACUGACUGCUCAUAUGAACACAGAGCACUCACACACAGAGCCUCUUACAGAGUGGACCUCGUCUUCUCCUGUGUUCUCUGUUAUUAGUGCUGAGGAAAUACACAAAUACCAAAAGCGUAUAUCUUCAACGAAAGCUUCGGGUUUGUUUCUUUGGUUUUCUUUCAUCAAGUGGUAAGCUCUUUGACGCAACGAAAGACCACCACCGACUGACGGGAUGGCGUUUUGCAAGGUUAUCACGGUCACCAGUUAUCUUCUAUUGGUAUCCUACGGGAUAGGGCUGGCUCAGAAGCAUACAAUACCUGAGUGCAAACGUUCACUUAAAGAACAGCAAGAAGCAGGAGAUGUUGAUUCAUCUGAUCUGGAACAUUAUCUCAAGCUGGCAACCUAUGGAAUGUAUAAAUCUGUAAUCAAGAACAGGGCCUUCUCCAAGGGCAAAGGGAACCCUGGGCACAAGGGUUACGUUGAAGCGGACCACAUCCCACCCCUGGACUCCCUGAAUAGGGCUAAGAAAGAGCCUGAUUUUCAGGAGCUGGAAAGGAUAAAUCCGGCCCUUUAUGAUAUGGUGAUGAGCCUGGAGAACGAUCCGCGGGGGAUGAAACUCUUCGCCAUCCAGGUCACCAAACACCACCACGGGGCCGCUCUGUCCACCGGCAUCAGUAGAGAGUCUCAGGCCGUCAGGGGUGUUCUCGCACGUAGAAUUGCAAGAGGAGAAGCGGUGCCAAUGUUGAAGCAAGCCAUGAUGAUCGCCCACCCAUUUGUUUCCCAGAGUAUGAGAGACGAAGCAGAAAUAUCGAGACGUCCCCCUGAAAACAAAUGCUCACUUUCAGAAGCUAGAACGACGAAAAUCUACAAAAAGGGCUUUCUGGGAUUGAUCAAGUUAAUGUGUGAAAGAGGGGUCAUUCCUAGCAAAGAGAUGCUUGAGCUGAAGGAUUAUGUCUUAAACCGUGGCUACUUUGACAUUCAAUCCAUUGAAUACUUAGAGAUCCUUGAUGCCGUGAAAAUGAACCCCCCUGUUGUUGGCUAGAAUAGAUUGUUAGGUGGUGCCAUGAAAGUAUAAUGAUACUUGAUUAGUUUCUUAACAAACUGAAGAUUUGUGUGUGUCAAAGGUAGCCUUCUUUAAUCUAAAAAUAAAAAUAUUUUAAGC